rnacentral:rRNA from 1 species
UGGGGAAUAUUGCGCAAUGGGCGAAAGCCUGACGCAGCGACGCCGCGUGAGGGACGACGGCCUUCGGGUUGUAAACCUCUUUCAGCAGGGACGAAGCGAAAGUGACGGUACCUGCAGAAGAAGCACCGGCUAACUACGUGCC